UAGUAAGAUAAGCUAAAAAAGCUAGUGGGUUCAUACCCCAAAAAUGAAUUAAUUCUCUUACUAA
rnacentral:tRNA from 3 species